UACGGGGGGGGGCAAGCGUUGUUCGGAAUUACUGGGCGUAAAGGGCUCGUAGGCGGCCAACUAAGUCAGACGUGAAAUCCCUCGGCUUAACCGGGGAACUGCGUCUGAUACUGGAUGGCUUGAGUGUGGGAGAGGGAUGCGGAAUUCCAGGUGUAGCGGUGAAAUGCGUAGAUAUCUGGAGGAACACCGGUGGCGAAGGCGGCAUCCUGGACCAUUACUGACGCUGAGGAGCGAAAGCCAGGGGAGCGAACGGG
rnacentral:rRNA from 1 species